rnacentral:rRNA from 1 species
CCUACCUUUAACUCUGGGAUAGCCCGAAGAAAUUCGGAUUGAAUACCGGAUAAUAUCAAGAUAUGACAUCACAGCUUGAUUAAAGGCGCGAGUUGGUUAAAGAUGGGCAUGCGUCCCAUUAGUUAGUUGGGGAGGUAACGGCUCACCAAGGCGAUGAUGGGUAGGGGCUCUGAGAGGAUUACCCCCCACAUUGGUACUGAGACAGGGACCAAACUCCUACGGGAGGCAGCAGUGAGGAAUAUUGGGCAAUGGACGGAAGUCUGACCCAGCCAUGCCGCGUGCAGGAAGACGGCCUUAUGGGUUGUAAACUGCUUUUAUGUAGGGAAAAAGUUCAUAUUGCGAUAUGAUUUGAUGGUACUACAGGAAUAAGAAUCGGCUAACUCCGUGCCAGCAGCCGCGGUAAUACGGAGGAUUCGAGCGUUAUCCGGAUUUAUUGGGUUUAAAGGGUGCGCAGGCGGACUAUUAAGUCAGUGGUGAAAUUUUCCGGCUCAACCGGGACAGUGCCAUUGAUACUGAUAGACUAAGUAUAAUUGACGUAUGUGGAAUGUAGCAUGUAGCGGUGAAAUGCAUAGAGAUGCUACAGAACACCGAUAGCGAAGGCAGCAUACGAAGCUAUAACUGACGCUCAUGCACGAAAGCGUGGGGAUCAAACAGGAUUAAAUACCCUGGUAGUCCACGCUGUAAACGAUGAUAACU